GCACGAAAGGUGUAACGAUCUGGGCACUGUCUCAACGAGAGACUCGGUGAAAUUAUAGUACCUGUGAAGAUGCAGGUUACCCGCGACAGGACGGAAAGACCCCGUGGAGCUUUACUGCAGCCUGAUAUUGAAUUUUGGUACAGCUUGUACAGGAUAGGUAGGAGCCUGAGAAGCCGGAGCGCCAGCUUCGGUGGAGGCGUUGGUGGGAUACUACCCUGGCUGUAUUGAAAUUCUAACCCGCGCCCCUUAUCGGGGUGGGAGACAGUGUCAGGUGGGCAGUUUGACUGGGGCGGUCGCCUCCUAAAGAGUAACGGAGGCGCCCAAAGGUUCCCUCAGAAUGGUUGGAAAUCAUUCGUAGAGUGUAAAGGCACAAGGGAGCUUGACUGCGAGACCUACAAGUCGAGCAGGGACGAAAGUCGGGCUUAGUGAUCCGGUGGUUCCGCAUGGAAGGGCCAUCGCUCAACGGAUAAAAGCUACCCCGGGGAUAACAGGCUUAUCUCCCCCAAGAGUCCACAUCGACGGGGAGGUUUGGCACCUCGAUGUCGGCUCAUCGCAUCCUGGGGCUGUAGUCGGUCCCAAGGGUUGGGCUGUUCGCCCAUUAAAGCGGUACGCGAGCUGGGUUCAGAACGUCGUGAGACAGUUCGGUCCCUAUCCGUCGCGGGCGCAGGAAAUUUGAGAGGAGCUGUCCUUAGUACGAGAGGACCGGGAUGGACGCACCGCUGGUGUACCAGUUGUCUUGCCAAAGGCAUAGCUGGGUAGCUACGUGCGGACGGGAUAAGUGCUGAAAGCAUCUAAGCAUGAAGCCCCCCUCAAGAUGAGAUUUCCCAUGGCGCAAGCUAGUAAGAUCCCUGAAAGAUGAUCAGGUUGAUAGGUCAGAGGUGGAAGCAUGGUGACAUGUGGAGCUGACUGAUACUAAUAGAUCGAGGACUUAACCAAC
rnacentral:rRNA from 1 species